rnacentral:rRNA from 1 species
UCCUACGGGAGGCAGCAGUAGGGAAUCUUCCGCAAUGGACGAAAGUCUGACGGAGCAACGCCGCGUGAGCGAUGAAGGCCUUCGGGUCGUAAAGCUCUGUUGUUAGGGAAGAACAAGUAUCGUUCGAAUAGGGCGGUACCUUGACGGUACCUAACCAGAAAGCCACGGCUAACUACGUGCCAGCAGCCGCGGUAAUACGUAGGUGGCAAGCGUUGUCCGGAAUUAUUGGGCGUAAAGCGCGCGCAGGCGGUCCUUUAAGUCUGAUGUGAAAGCCCACGGCUCAACCGUGGAGGGUCAUUGGAAACUGGGGGACUUGAGUACAGAAGAGGAAAGUGGAAUUCCACGUGUAGCGGUGAAAUGCGUAGAGAUGUGGAGGAACACCAGUGGCGAAGGCGACUUUCUGGUCUGUAACUGACGCUGAGGCGCGAAAGCGUGGGGAG